GGGAAAUAUCAGCCAACAGAAAAUAUUACCCUUUCUUUAAGGACUGUAUUGGAGCCAUAGAUGGCACACAUGUAUACGCUUCGGUUCCACGUGAAUUUGCCAUUAGGUACCGGAAUCGCAAAGGAUCGAUGUCACAGAAUAUAAUGGCUGUAUGCGACUUUAACAUGAUGUUCACUUUAUGUCGUUACUGGAUGGGAAGGAUCAGCGCAUGAUUCAAGAGUUUUAAAUUCAAUUAUUGAUGAUCCUAAUUCAGGAUUCCCAUAUCCUCCACCAGGGAAAUACUAUUU